rnacentral:lncRNA from 1 species
AGGGGUGAGGGCCAGUUCCCCAUCACCUACCUCUUAUAUUCCAUGGAUUCAUGUCAAGCCAGAAUAUAUACUGAUUCACCAAAGUGGCAGACUGGCAGUCUUCAGGCCUGUCUACACAUGAGAGAUUGUUCAAGGACUUGACAAUGACAGAGAGGCCAAUAGCCACUUAUUUUUUAAAGAAAAUUCAAAUAUACUUGUUUUUUGAAGUCAGUCCUUAAGUUGACUUCAGCCGUCUUUGGAAACUCAUGUUACAGAGCUCCUGAAUUAGGACUAAUCUCUGUAUAAAAUGCUUUAAAUCAGUCUGUUCUACAUUUUGCCAU